rfam:Cavia porcellus supercont2_54 genomic scaffold, whole genome shotgun sequence.
GGGGAUUUAGCUUAGCGGCAUAAGUGCCUGCCUUGUAAGCAGGCAAUCGCCA